UACGUAGGUGGCAAGCGUUGUCCGGAGUUACUGGGCGUAAAGCGCACGCAGGCGGUCUUUUAAGUUUGGAGUGACAGUUGGUGGCUUAACUGCCAAAGUGCUUCGAAAACUGAGAGACUUGAGGGCUUCAGAGGGACACGGAAUUCCGGGUGGAGUGGUGAAAUGCGUAGAGAUCCGGAGGAACACCAAAGGCGAAGGCAGUGUCCUGGGGAGUACCUGACGCUCAGGUGCGAAAGCCAGGGGAGCGAACGGG
rnacentral:rRNA from 1 species